rnacentral:tRNA from 2 species
GGAAAGGUGGCAGAGUGGUCGAAUGCGCCGGACUCGAAAUCCGGUAUACGGUUUAGCCGUAUCGAGGGUUCGAAUCCCUCCCUUUCCGCCA